GACUCGAUUCUUAAAAAAAACGUUUUUUUUUAAGCAAGGCGGAAUGGAUCUUCAGAACUAGAACAAGAUUAAAUGCCCAAAGGAUAAAAUUUUUCAAGCUAAGUAUUACGUCUUAACCAUAUCGCUAGGCCGAUAAUACAACAACUUAUGAAGCAACUACAAUUUUUUGAGAAGGUCCAUACAACAAGCGCAUGCGCGAGAUUUAUAGUUUCGUUUUCCACCAAUCCGACUUUCCACAACCAACAUGGCCGCCGACAGAUCGUCAUAUGCCUAGAUCUGGACAAAUGUUCUGAGACAAUGAGUUAAGUGUGGGGAUAUCGCUGUUUAGAAAAAAAAAGAACAAAGGGCAGGCACCCCUUUGGCAGGUCUAAUAAUAUGUGAAAAAGUUAAAUUCUUCCAUCGUCAACUGUUCCCUCAAAAUUAAAAACCCUAACCGAGUUUUGGCUGGCUUGAAAAAUUCAAAGACAGAUUGACAACUGAGUAUUUGUGAGUUAUUUUGGAGAAUGUUACCUCACAAUCUGCACCUGGCCGAAAAAUCAGUGCUUCCGGUAAUCACAAAGUGAAAUUGUGUGUUGUUGGAAAAUUGAGUAAACCUAGAGCCUUUACAAAUUCGUGUAUACAAGUUUGUUACAAAAGGCCGAAGGACGUCAGUGAGGAAAACACUAGCGGAGUUAAAUUUGCCUUAAAAACAGCUUCUAAUUUUAAAAAACGCACCAGGCAAUCCUGAGGAUUUAACGAGAGAUGAUAAUGGCACUAGAUGAAGCCUGGAAUGAGUUAAUGGAACAAGAAGCUCUUACCUUAGUUUGACGUAUCCUCUGAUGGUGGAGAUUCCAUACUUUUGUCAGUUUUAGCAGCUUCUCAACCUUUAUGAAAUUGACCGUCGACAAGAACGCCCAUAGUUUCUGUUUCUGUUUCAUGUUUGUGAACAUUCAUUAAAAUACAGCCAAAAGAAACGGACUGAUGUCGGUCACAAAUCGCCAGACUAAAAAAUAAUAAUAAUAAUUAAACACUUAUAGAAUGAAAAGAGAAAAGAAGUGACAAUAAAAAUGUCGGCUGUUAUAAUAUUUGGCAGGAAGAUUGAGAUAAAAGAUUUUGAAAAUACGCACAAACUGGAUAUUUUAAUACAGGAUCAGGAUAUGCGAUUCACAAAGCAUGUAAGUUGUUGCCUUGCUUAACGGAUAUAUCAACACAGAAAUAUCCUAACCAGAGACGUAAAAUCAAUGCCGUGUGACCCGUUGGUCCUUUCACAGGCUAAGUAUUGUGAUAUUGUUUAUGCUCCGUGCAUGUGCAUGUGCUUUUAAUGACUUGAAAAGUUUUUAGCCCCACCACACACCCGCAAGAAGGAAGGGAGACGAAUAGACUUUUAUAAGUAAUAUAUGAAUGACUUGUUUGAGGUCUCAUUUUAUUGAGGUACAUAUUCGUCCACGUCGUACAUUAAGGAUGAAAUAAUAACAAUCGGACCAAAGGUGUACGUGGGUUUAUCUAGAUUCAAAUCGAACCGCGAGUAUAAACUACGUGCGAACCAUCACGAACGAUUAGAAAAACGCGAGUAUAAUGCGUGAUAUCCUCCCCUCUGAUGUUUACGCAGAUUUUUCAUUAAAUAUUGCUAUUUGAACAGCAUUAGAACAUUUCGAAAACAAGAUGUUUUUCGUGUGAUCUUUUGU